AUAGCUUCCAGUGCCUUGAUGAAACCUCAAGGUUUUUGGCCUUUUGGCCAAGCAUCUGCCAUUUCAUACUGUUGCAGCAUUUGUUGUGUCCUAGGAGUUGCAACUAUCUAUAAGUUUGUUGUGGCUAAACCAUGAAAUAAGGCAUAUAUAGAUUUCUGCAGAAAUUAUAAUUCUACAAAUGAUUUUGAAGAGAUGAAAAAGGUUGGUAUCUUUUGGAAUGCAAAGUGA
rnacentral:lncRNA from 1 species